rnacentral:rRNA from 2 species
UUGGAGCCAGCCGCCUAAGGUGGGAUAGAUGAUUGGGGUGAAGUCGUAACAAGGUAGCCGUAUCGGAAGGUGCGGCUGGAUCACCUCCUUU